rnacentral:rRNA from 1 species
GUCCAGACUCCUACGGGAGGCAGCAGUGGGGAAUAUUGCACAAUGGGGGAAACCCUGAUGCAGCGACGCCGCGUGGGUGAAGAAGUAUUUCGGUAUGUAAAGCCCUAUCAGCAGGGAAGAAAAAUGACGGUACCUGACUAAGAAGCACCGGCUAAAUACAUGCCAGCAGCCGCGGUAAUACGUAUGGUGCAAGCGUUAUCCGGAUUUACUGGGUGUAAAGGGAGCGCAGGCGGCACGCUAAGCCUGAUGUGAAAACCCGCGGCCCAACCGCGGGAGUGCAUUGGGAACUGGCGGGCUGGAGUACCGGAGGGGCAGGCGGAAUUCCUAGUGUAGCGGUGAAAUGCGUAGAUAUUAGGAGGAACACCAGUGGCGAAGGCGGUCUGCUGGACAGCAACUGACGCUGAGGCGCGAAAGCGUGGGGAGCAAACAGGAUUAGAUACCCUGGUA